UGGGGAAUAUUGCACAAUGGGCGCAAGCCUGAUGCAGCCAUGCCGCGUGUAUGAAGAAGGCCUUCGGGUUGUAAAGUACUUUCAGCGGGGAGGAAGGUGUUGAGGUUAAUAACCUCAGCAAUUGACGUUACCCGCAGAAGAAGCACCGGCUAACUCCGUGCCAGCAGCCGCGGUAAUACGGAGGGUGCAAGCGUUAAUCGGAAUUACUGGGCGUAAAGCGCACGCAGGCGGUCUGUCAAGUCGGAUGUGAAAUCCCCGGGCUCAACCUGGGAACUGCAUUCGAAACUGGCAGGCUAGAGUCUUGUAGAGGGGGGUAGAAUUCCAGGUGUAGCGGUGAAAUGCGUAGAGAUCUGGGGGAAUACCGGUG
rnacentral:rRNA from 1 species